rnacentral:tRNA from 1 species
CCCUCGAUAGCUCAGUUGGAAGAGCGCAAGACUGUAAUGGUUAAAUAGUUACGUAAUCUUGAUGUCGCUGGUUCGAUCCCGGCUCGAGGGA